GUUUUUAAAAGCUUUAGUAAUGGUUAGUAUUGUUUGUUUGAGUUGGAUAGGGAGUGUUGACUGAGACGACGGCUGAACUAGCUGCUUCUCUUUCCUUGGCUGCUGCAAGAAGAAUUGUUGAAGCCGACGAAUUCAUGAGAGGUGGCUUGUACGAGGGAUGGCUUCCU
rnacentral:sRNA from 1 species